rnacentral:rRNA from 1 species
CCUACGGGUGGCAGCAGUGGGGAAUAUUGGACAAUGGGGGCAACCCUGAUCCAGCCAUGCCGCGUGAGUGAUGAAGGCCCUAGGGUUGUAAAGCUCUUUUGUGCGGGAAGAUAAUGACGGUACCGCAAGAAUAAGCCCCGGCUAACUUCGUGCCAGCAGCCGCGGUAAUACGAAGGGGGCUAGCGUUGCUCGGAAUCACUGGGCGUAAAGGGUGCGUAGGCGGGUCUUUAAGUCAGGGGUGAAAUCCUGGAGCUCAACUCCAGAACUGCCUUUGAUACUGAAGAUCUUGAGUUCGGGAGAGGUGAGUGGAACUGCGAGUGUAGAGGUGAAAUUCGUAGAUAUUCGCAAGAACACCAGUGGCGAAGGCGGCUCACUGGCCCGAUACUGACGCUGAGGCACGAAAGCGUGGGGAGCAAACAGGAUUAGAUACCCGUGUAGUC